GACUGUACCGGUGGAGGAAGCCACGGCUAACUCUGUGCCAGCAGCCGCGGUAAUACAGAGGUGGCAAGCGUUGUUCGGAAUUACUGGGCGUAAAGGGUGCGUAGGCGGUUUAUCAAGUCAGGGGUGAAAGGCUACGGCUCAACCGUAGUGAGCCUCUGAAACUGGUGAACUUGAGUGUAGGAGAGGAAAGUGGAAUUCCCAGUGUAGCGGUGAAAUGCGUAGAUAUUGGGAGGAACACCAGUGGCGAAGGCGACUUUCUGGACUACAACUGACGCUGAGGCACGAAAGCGUGGGGAGCAAACAGGAUUAGAUACCCUGGUAGUCCACGCUGUAAACGAUGAGUACUAGGUGUCGGCUGUCAAAGGUCGGUGCCGGCGUUAACACAUUAAGUACUCCGCCUGGGGAGUACGCUCGCAAGAGUGAAACUCAAAGGAAUUGACGG
rnacentral:rRNA from 1 species